GACGGUGUGGCGUAUGUCGGCGGACGUGAUCGGGUUCCCGUUCUGGUCCUUGACGCCGUCCUUGAGCGUGUACGUCCAGGUCUUGCCGCCGUCC
rnacentral:tRNA from 1 species